rnacentral:rRNA from 1 species
GCUCAGUAACACGUGGCCAAACUACCCUGUCGAUCGGGACACCCUCGGGAAACUGAGGCUAAUCCCGGAUACGGCUCGCUGCCUGGAGGUGGCGCGAGCUCGAAACGUUCAGGCGCGACAGGAUGUGGCUGCGGCCGAUUAGGUAGACGGUGGGGUAACGGCCCACCGUGCCGAUAAUCGGUACGGGUUGUGAAAGCAAGAGCCCGGAGACGGAAUCUGAGACAAGAUUCCGGGCCCUACGGGGCGCAGCAGGCGCGAAACCUUUACACUGCACGCGAGUGCGAUAGGGGGACUCCAAGUGCGAGGGCAUACAGUCCUCGCUUUUCACCACCGUAAGGAGGUGGUAGAAUAAGUGCUGGGCAAGACCGGUGCCAGCCGCCGCGGUAAUACCGGCAGCACGAGUGAUGACCGCUAUUAUUGGGCCUAAAGCGUCCGUAGCCGGCCAGGCAAGUCCAUCGGGAAAUCCGCACGCCUAACGUGCGGGCGUCCGGUGGAAACUGCUUGGCUUGGGACCGGAAGAUCCAGAGGGUACGUCUGGGGUAGGAGUGAAAUCCUGUAAUCCUGGACGGACCACCGGUGGCGAAAGCGCUCUGGAAAGACGGAUCCGACGGUGAGGGACGAAAGCUUGGGUCACGAACCGGAUUAGAUACCCGGGUAGUCCAAGCUGUAAACGAUGUCUGCUAGGUGUGGCACAGGCUA